CCUACGGGAGGCAGCAGUGGGGAAUUUUGCGCAAUGGGGGAAACCCUGACGCAGCAACGUCGCGUGAGUGAUGAAGGCCUUCGGGUCGUAAAGCUCUGUCAGAGGGGAAGAAGUGCAACGGUGCUAAUACCAUCUUUGCUUGACGGUACCCUCAAAGGGAGCACCGGCUAACUCCGUGCCAGCAGCCGCGGUAAU
rnacentral:rRNA from 2 species